UACGUAGGGUGCAAGCGUUAAUCGGAAUUACUGGGCGUAAAGCGUGCGCAGGCGGCUUUGCAAGACAGGUGUGAAAUCCCCGGGCUUAACCUGGGAACUGCGCUUGUAACUGGCAAGCUAGAGUGUGGCAGAGGGGGGUGGAAUUCCACGUGUAGCAGUGAAAUGCGUAGAGAUGUGGAGGAACACCGAUGGCGAAGGCAGCCCCCUGGGCUAACACUGACGCUCAUGCACGAAAGCGUGGGGAGCAAACAGG
rnacentral:rRNA from 1 species